CUAAAAACACAUUCAUCUCUCAGGCAUUUGCUUAAAGGCUUACACUUAGCAAGUCAAAGCAAGACUAGACAAGGUUGAAAACGACUAUAUAAUCAUGAGUGAAAUAAUUCAGUCAAUCUAUACCGAUAUGAAUGGUGAGCAGGCAGCACCGAAGACAGGAUGCGGUAAGAUUUUUGAUUGGUUUAAAAAUGAUGAUAGGAGUGAAUGGUUGAAGGACAUGAGAGGAGGCCUGGGUUUGAUAGCUUCUAUUAUCGCAAUUAUCACCUUUCAAUCCGCUCUGAAUCUACCUGGUGGCGUGCUCAACGAUAGAAUCAAUCUACUUCACUGUUCAGUUCCCCAUUCAACGGAUCUUCUAGACGCAGGAGCAGUUUUAUCUCGAACUGAAAGAGUCUACUAUAUUCUUUUCUUGGCAUUCAAUACCACUUGUUUCGUUGCAUCACUGUGUGUGAGUCUUUUACUUGUGAGUGGACUCUCUCUGAGAAACAGAUUCACGGUGUGGCUGUUAUUGAUUGGCAUGUGCACCACCGUCACGACUCUCUUGCUUACCUACUUGAUGGGCGUCUUUAUGGUUAUGCCGCCGGGUGAGAUUUCUGGUGAGAUCUUGUUGAGAAGUUCGUUUGAUUAUCUUUUAGGUUUCUUUUUCAUGUUUGCAAUUGUUGGUUUAAUCCAAGUACUACGCUUUAUUAUUUGGGGUGUGAGGAAAUGCUUUGCGAUUUGAAGAUUUUGGAGGGGAUGGAAGAAUGAAUAAACAAAUAUGUUAGUGAAGAAUUAUAGGCUCGGUGUGGAGGUGUGUUAAAACUUGUUGAAGAGACCAUUGUAUUGCAUUUCGUGAACAAAAAAGAUUAUGUAUUUUUUUAUAGCUA